GGGAGGGAGACAAAAUUUCUCAUCCAAAAUAGAUAUCAGAAUGUAGACACAGAUUGUGGCGGCCCCAUGUGUCAUGGAAAACAGUUCACAAAAACAUAGACCUUAAAUCAGAAAAAUUACUUAAAGGAAAUUUCUCAUUAUUACUGUUCUAGAACUUCAAUCUUCUAAAAAGCGGUAUCUACUGGGGGUCUGUGUCCAUUGAUGAAAGGUGAGCAUGAGGUAGGCAAUCCGAAGAGAUGGCUGGGAAAGGACAUAUGCUGUGUGAGAACAGGAAAUCUUGCUGGUCCUCUUGUGUAACCGAUGGCCUGUUCAGUGCAUACACUCGGGGAGUGUGAGCGUCAUUCCAAAGGCUGGUUCCUGAGCCUCAGUGCCAGUGGCUGUGUCUCCUACAGCAAUGCCAGGGCCAAGGAAGUGGUACUCCCAUUCUGCAAGCUCCUGCUAAUUCAGCUGCUGUCCCCAGGCCAUGCACAGGCUGCUAAUUCUAGUUCACAGCCGCCAAACAGGAAAGCAAAGUCAGGUUCGCAACUAUCAAGUCCUUUAAAAAAAAAAAAUGUAAGCCUUUGGCCAAAACCUAUCUUCACAUUCUUCUCUUCCUGCCAUGCAACCCAUCAGGCUUUGGCCAAAGAUCACAAGUGAACUGAGAAUCCUGAAAAGCAAUGCACUGGGAUCCACACUGAACCCUCCUGAACUCUAACACAUUUCAGAGCCGCUAACAGAACUGUACUAGAAGCACCAUCCGGACUGGCUCAGGGAUGCUUCAGCUUCAGCUCCAAGAGAUCUGAAGUGACCCUAAGUUCCACUCUGAGCACUCAGUGCUACAGUCUUCUCCAACUUGUGCACAGAAGGAUUAAAAAGAAAACACAAAUAUUGGCCAAGGUGACUUGAGGUUACUUGACCUUUCUGAAGGAAGGAAGAUUUUUGGCAACCACAACCUGGCAGCUGUCUGGAAGGCAAGGCCAGGACACAAAGAGGAAGACAGGAAGCAGGGAGCUGGCCAUGUGUCCUUGGCAGGCAGCAGUGCAGCAGGGUGAACCACCUCGUCCCUGCCAAACCAGAAACAGCAGGGAAAGCCCAGCUAAUUGGCAAGUCGCAGCCGGCUACAGUGUCCAUCUCUGCUUUAAAUGACUGAUGAAGCUAAAUGGAAUGCCAGACCCUAAUCUACUUAACUAGGAUCCUCCUCAACUCGCUCAGAAACGUAAUUUGCUCCUGUGUGUGUUUCCCAGGGAAGUGGUAAGGCAUAGCUUAAGAUGGCAAGGGCUGAAAAGAGUUUAAAGAAAAAACUGUUCUGAAGUCUGGUUAUAUCCAUAGACAUCUUGCAUCUUGCUUCUGAAGGGUGCGUGUGCAUGAGAGAGAGAGAGGGAGA
rnacentral:sRNA from 1 species